CAGGGUUUGUAAAUCUUCCUCUUCUGUGAUACCAUCUGAUACGCUGAGUGCUGAACACUGCUAUCACUGGCAAAUUUUUCUUCUUGAGUCUGAAAGUGGCACUGGACAUAUGAAGUAAAACGGCAGGGUUUCUGAUUGUGCUGCAGAUCAUUCAAGCCUUACUAGGUACAACUGUCCUUACCAUGAUAACUGUUCAAUACCUCAUAUAUUGCUGGAUGAAAUUACUAUGGACAAAAAAGAAUGGGUACAUGAGAGAMCAAUUUGGCACCUUACUGCAGGGGAGUGGAGGAAGAGAUUUAGACUGACUUCAUCCACAUGAGCAGAGGAGUUUCUUGAGCYGCAAGGUUUGCUCUAUCCGUGUGUGCGCUGUUGAAGCUAGGUGGCGAGAGGCUGGAGAGCGUGAGGGCUGAUGUCCAUGGCAGAUGCCCAACAGGCCCCCAUGGAGCCGUGGAAGGAGCCGGCGAUGGCCUGCGUGGCUGGGCCGGCCCCGCGCUCCUCCCAGGGACAGGGYCGCGUUGAGCACCGCUGAGCUGCUGCCCGCGGCCAUGGGGACGGGGCCUGCGGAGCAGGCCUCAGGUGGGCGAGCAGCAAAGGGGACAGGCUCUGCGGUGCCAGCUGCUCUGCCACUGACCUGCGUGCUGAAAGAACUGGAAAUUACUUGAGCUUUACUGCUGUCUUAGGGCACGCUGUGGUCCUUUCAUUUUGUUUUGCCUUUGUUGUAACUUGGCUGAAAGGUUUUGUUUAUAAUCUGUAUGUAAGCUUUUCUUUUAUUGUAAGCUUUGCUGCAACUUCCCCAAGUUCUGUUUUUUCUCUCUGUUCUCCUUUUCUUUAGUAACCUCACUGGGCUUUCUUUCUGGAAAUGAGAAGCCAAGGAAAACCGUGUGGUGCUGCCUUAAAGGGCUUCCCUAACUACAGAGCUGGGAGCAUUUUUGCCCUCUGAACCUUGGCUCUGCCCCUGAGGCACAAACCACAUGUUCCACAUGAAAGCCUCUGUCCUUAAGGAGAAUCUCAUCAGGGGAGAGUUUACAAGAUGCAGAUCCUAACUGUUCCCCUCUUGACAGCCUGUCCAGGCCACCCAUUUAUAUUUAAUAGUCAUAACAACCAAAAUGUAAAAUAUUUCCAAGUUUUGAAAGCCAUUAGUUUACCCAGUUUUGGUCAGCUAGUAAUCACAGAGAUCAGCUGUCUAAACAGU